rnacentral:sRNA from 1 species
UGGCCCUUACGGUAGGGCUACACACGUGCUACAAUGGCGCAUACAGAGGGCGGCCAACUUGCGAAAGUGAGCGAAUCCCAAAAAGUGCGUCGUAGUCCGGAUUGGAGUCUGCAACUCGACUCCAUGAAGUCGGAAUCGCUAGUAAUCGUGGAUCAGAAUGCCACGGUGAAUACGUUCCCGGGCCUUGUACACACCGCCCGUCACACCAUGGGAGUGGGCUGCAAAAGAAGUAGGUAGUUUAACCUUCGGGGGGACGCUUACCACUUUGUGGUUCAUGACUGGGGUGAAGUCGUAACAAGGUAGCGCUAGGGGAACCUGGCGCUGGAUCACCUCCUUAUACG